CACUGGGAAUGCUGGCUUCCUACCACUAGUUUUAUUUGUGAUGUGUGGUAUUACAAGAGGCAGAAUUAAAGAAUAAGUUGAUGUUGUUCUCUAAGAUUGAUCGGUGUUGUUCUCCAAGACUGAUCGGUGCUUUCUACCGGUAGUUUUUUGUGAUGUUGGCUUCCUAUCACUAGUCAGUGCAGGUGGGUGGCGUGUCUUGACCGUGUUCUCUAAGAUUGAUCAUGGUGUAUGUCAUCUGCUUAUUUUCAAGCUAUGUGCUUUCACACGGGAGACCAACGCAAUAAUAGUUCAUUGUCAUUGAAGAGCCUAACCAGAGACACAUGAGCUAAUCUUUUCUUGCUCUGCUUGGUUUCACUCAGCGUGAAAG
rnacentral:lncRNA from 1 species